rnacentral:tRNA from 1 species
ACUAUUUUGGCAGAAAAGUGCAGUAAGUUUAGAAUUUAUGAAUGUAGAGGGUUCUACAAAUAGUA